GCAUCCUUGUAAACUCAACCUGCGGCACAAAAAGCAAUCCCUGGAGGACAGCUUGGCAUACCUUAACAGAAUGGCGAAGAAGGAAGCUCGUGACUGGAGAGAGAUGAGGGAACAUCUUGAAGCAUCGGAGCAAAGACAAAUAGAGCUCGAGAAAGUGUACAAGCGACAGGAUAGGGUGGUAAAUUGUGCCGCUGCCACUCUAUUCCUUGCCUUGUUAGCCGGCAAUGUGUUCUUUGGUUGAGUCAGGAAGAGAAAUGGGAAAAGGCAAUUAGGCCUCUAAGUUAGUGUAUAUUAGUGUUAUAUGAGUUUUGGCUAAUUCUUACGCUUAAGUUGUGGAUCUGUUUUCUUGGGGUCUUAAGUUGUGGACCUGUUUUCUGGUGUAAACCUAUUCAAGAAGUCAUUAUUGUUGACCUUUGUUUGCUUUGCAUAGCAACUUAAGUUUCUGGCUGUGAAUGUUUUGAACUGGCCAGGUUAGGCCAACACAGUUGUUAAUUUGGUGGGAGCACCCCAUCUGCUUAUUGAAGUGGAGCCA
rnacentral:rRNA from 1 species